GCAGUUGUGGUUCAGUGGUAGAAUCUUUGUCUGCCACGCAAGAAACCUGGUCCAAUUCCCAGAUGCA
rnacentral:tRNA from 1 species